rnacentral:lncRNA from 10 species
AGCGGGCUCCGGCAUUGGCCAGCCCAGAAAGGGGCUCCCAGAGUGCAGCGGUGGGCUGAAGGGCUCCUCAAGUGCCGCCAAAGUGGGAGCCCAGAUAGAGGAGGCGCCGAGAGCGAGGAGGGCUGUGAGGACUGCCAGCACGCUGUCACCUCUCAGUACUAUUUUAUGGUCUGUUUACAGUAAUCUUGAAAGAGAUAGAAAAGGACCUUGCUCUAUUGCCCUGGCUGGAGUGCAGUGGCAGGAACAUGGCUCACUGCAGCAUCGACCUCCUGGGCUCGAGUGAUCCUCCCAUCUAAGCCACCUGAUUAUCUGGGACUAUAGACCAGAACACGUUAGGAAACAUAUUCCACUAUUCAAAGGAUAAAGCUCUUCUUUCAAAUUGUGUACUGAAGAUAUUUAGUUAGAAAAAGACUCAGUAGUAUGCCUGGAAUUCUGAAGAUCUGACUUCCCUAUCCCCCUUUAAGUUAGGUCAGGCCAUCUGCCUGGUUCUGUAUAAAUGAAUGUGGAUGAAAGUGAUGUGUACCACUACAAAACCUGGCUAGAAGGCAUCCUACAUAAUACUCCUCAUUUUUGCUCUUUGCCUUAUUGGGUGACUAAACGCACAGGAUCUAGCAGAGGACACUGAGGAGUCCCUGGAAGAUUGCGGCAACACAAGACGGAGAAGCCAGGAUCCCAAAGCACCAAGUGAAAGACUGGUCGGCAAAAAUCCAUUUGAACUGUGAUGUGAGUGAAAAACAUAUGCCUGUUGAAUUAAGUAAUGAUCAAUGCUAUGCUCUGUUUGUACUCAUAGCAGCUUCUGUUAUGCCUUUUAUUAAUACGUCUGGCUUGUUUCCUUUUGAUCUCAGGGCUAAAAUAUCCCAUUUGAAAAACCACCCAUUUUUUUUCCAGUCUUCUGCUUUGUCAAGUUAUAUCAUAGCAAGUUUUUACAAUAAAUAAAACUCUAUAGUAAAAAAUAAUUU